rnacentral:rRNA from 1 species
GAUGAACGCUGGCGGCGUGCCUAAUACAUGCAAGUCGAGCGAACAGACCCGGAGCUUGCUCCUCUGACGUUAGCGGCGGACGGGAGAGUAACACGUGUAUAACCUACCUAUAAGACUGGGAUAACUUCGGGAAACCGGAGCUAAUACCGGAUGAUCUAUUGAACCGCGUGGGUCAAUAGUGAAAGUCGGUUUUGCUGUCGCUUAUAGCUGGAUCCGCGCCGCAUUAGCUAGUUGUUACGGAAACGGCUUACCAAGGCUACGAUGCGUAACCGACCUGAGAGGGUGGGCGGCCACACUGGAAGUGAGACAGGGCCCAGACUCCUACGGGAGGCAGCAGUAGGGAAUCUUCCGGAAGGGGCGAGAGCCUGACGGAGCAACGCCGCGUGAGUGAUGAAGGUCUUCGGAUCGUAAAACUCUGUUAUUAGGGAAGAACAAAUGUGUAAGUAACUAUGCACGUCUUGACGGUACCUGGUCAGAAAGCCACGGCUAACUACGUG